rnacentral:rRNA from 1 species
AUCAGAAGUGCGAAUGCUGACAUAAGUAACGAUAAAGCGGGUGAAAAGCCCGCUCGCCGGAAGACCAAGGGUUCCUGUCCAACGUUAAUCGGGGCAGGGUGAGUCGACCCCUAAGGCGAGGCCGAAAGGCGUAGUCGAUGGGAAACAGGUUAAUAUUCCUGUACUUGGUGUUACUGCGAAGGGGGGACGGAGAAGGCUAUGUUAGCCGGGCGACGGUUGUCCCGGUUUAAGCAUGUAGGCUGGUUAUCCAGGCAAAUCCGGAUAAUCAAGGCUGAGGUGUGAUGACGAGGUACUACGGUACUGAAGUAACAAAUGCCCUGCUUCCAGGAAAAGCCUCUAAGCAUCAGGUAACAUCAAAUCGUACCCCAAACCGACACAGGUGGUCAGGUAGAGAAUACCAAGGCGCUUGAGAGAACUCGGGUGAAGGAACUAGGCAAAAUGGUGCCGUAACUUCGGGAGAAGG